rfam:Ictidomys tridecemlineatus contig039558, whole genome shotgun sequence.
GGGGCUGUAGCUCAGUGUUGGAGCACUUGCCUAGCAAGCAUGAGGCCCUGGGUUCCAUCCCCAGUACCACCC